rnacentral:rRNA from 1 species
AACGUAGGUUCCGAGCGUUAUCCGGAUUUACUGGGCGUAAAGCGCGUUCAGGCGGUCUGUUAAGUCGGAUGUGAAAUCUCUGGGCUCAACCCAGAAAUCGCAUCCGAUACUGGCAGACUUGAGGAUGGUAGAGGUUGGUGGAAUUCCCGGUGUACCGGUGAAAUGGACAGAUAUCGGGAGGAACACCGGUGGCGAAGGCGGCUCUCUGGGCCUUACCUGACGCUGAGGAGCGAAAGCGUGGGUAGCGAACAGG